CCCAACACUUAAUCAAGAUGUUUACAAACCCUCCAUUUGUAUCGCAAUAGCCAAUAAACAGCAGCUGAUUACGCAGGCUCUCCCGAGGCUAAUUGCAAGUAAUGAACUUAACCAGCUAAACUACCGCCUGGUUUCGCUAAAUGGGAAAAACCGUAAAUGUGACCUGCGACCGGUCAAGUGCGAUUCAUCUACCGUGAAAUUCUUAGUCUUAAGUUAUUGCCAUUUUGCAGUUUGAGCUAAACAGAGGGGGGAAAGCUUUGAAAUAACUCCACCCACGAUAUAUGGUGUCUGAAUAGACGCAACGUUUGUUUUACGUAGCAAAUUGCCAACAGCUUUCUACGUUAUCAGAAUGUUUGCACAGAGGUAUAUGGAUAGGUAAUGUGAGACACCAUGGUUAAUGUAAUUAAGAACGUAAACUGAUUAUUUUUUUACGGGAAAUACUGAAGCAGCAGCGCCUAAGCUCUCAGCCUUUGCUAACUGUACUAAGCUUAGGCCGAGGGUCAGGCUGCAGUCCCACAGGUUUCACGUUUGGUGAAGCUCAGUCUACAUAUAAAAGCACGACACUGCGCCGUUUAGUUUCCGAAUAAUUUCUUUAUCAGAAUCAAAUGAAAGGGCUGGUAAGCAGCGAAGCCCCCCGCUAACGCCGCUCCGUCACCCGGCCGGGGCCGACCUGCAACUAGGGCACGGCGGCGUAACAGCCGCAAAGUUACCCUGCCGGAUCUCUUACGCGCUCCGCACUUUUACUGAUGCGAUUUAAAUGUAACAUUUCGCCAUGUUGCUGCAUAUUAAGUUUAUGUGAGAAGGCGCCACGGGUGUAGUUUAAUAGUCACUGCGGUGUAAUGGCAAAACUCCACUUUCCAUCAGUAUGUGCCAGCAGACAAAGUGUGAAAUUAAAAAGGGAGUUCAGUGUUUUUUUUUUUUUUUUUUUUUUGCUGGACAACAGGCUUGCAGGCCAAAUGUUGGGGAACAGAAUAACAAGUCGCUCGCAAUCAAUUGAGAAACUGCAACUCAGAUCGAGUAUAUUACAUCCUUUAUAACCGGCGUCACACAGCUUGUCGGAUUUCGGAGUUCAAACGGACUUCGUUAACUACAGCUAAUUAGAAAUCAACGACUGGAGAAGAGACUGGUUUAAUACGCCGAGACUCGAUUUCUGUCCAUCCACCCAGUAUAAACACGCACUUAAAAUUGAUGCGAAAGCACCUCGGUUAGCUAACCCGGGGAAGGGAGACUCGGCAGCACUUGAAAACGAUUAGAUCUACAGCCAAACUCACCUUAUUUUGUUACAGUAUCCGUAUGUCUUCGUACAUCAGAACAAUCCACCGAAGAUGAAUCGCCAACACGGCGGCUGGCAUUUGUGCUGAUGGCUUUAGGUAGAUCAACGCACGAAGCAGGAAAGUGGCAGAUGGAGAUCCAGCAAAUAUGAUGUCCACCUUUCCUCCACGCCGGAGUCCAAACAGAACUAAUCCCUGCAAUCUCUGAUCUCGGUGUCCUAGAUCGGUCGAAGCUGUGUCCGGCAGGUUGCAAUAACAGUGUUUUUUGGUUGUGCUCACGUUAUACAGGCGCUUGUCCCCCCACCCCCUAAAACAUUUCUAAGGCCGAACAAAAACGCUUCCCUGAAACUGGGUUAUUGUGCAUUUGCCACAGAUUGCAUGGAAGGGCAUUUAACCUUCUUGCCGUGCUGCCAAACUUCAGUUUAAUGCUCCAGUCACCCACUCGAAGAGACUGGCUUGUUCCGUCUAGUUGCCUGGUGGCUAACGCGUUGCGAAAACUGUGAUGCGAGCUAAUGGGAUUUUUUUUUCUUUCCGCUGCUCUUGUUUUGUUUUGUAUAGCAUGCCAGCUCCUAAAUGGUUAUCUAUGUUUGGUAAGACAGUAUUUUAAUUCUAACGAGAGCAAAAGUGGGGAUUUUGAAUAGCAGAGAGGGGAGUCUGUAAGGGAGGCCAUUUUGACCACUGAGAAAUAAACUCCCAUGGGCGCCA